rnacentral:lncRNA from 1 species
UCUGUAGCCCCCGGUGCGUGGUUCUUAUCUGGGUGAAAUUUCAGUGCAAGUUUCCUGUAAGCCUUUUUCAAGUCCUCAUCAGAGGCUUCUCUGUUGACUCCCAAAAUUUCAUAGUAAUCCUUGCAUUGCUUUACCCUCUUCACGGCAUCCACCUGGUCCUGCGUGUAGCCCUUGGGGGCCUCCCCACCGGCCUCCCCAUUGGCUGAUGGGAAGUCCCCGCCUGCCUUCCUGAACUGGGCUUUUGGGGACUCCCGGGCCUGGGACUGCCCGUUGGAUGACGGCUCGCUCUUGUUAAGCGACUCGAGGAGAACGCGGACCCGCGGCGAGGGGUAGAGCCGCUGCGCCUUCUCCAGGAAGCGGCGGGCCCGCUCGGGCUGGUUGGCCUUGACGGCGGCCAGCGCGAUGCCGAUGCACCGCUCCGCCUCGUCCCUGUUCGACUCCAUGGCGGCGGCGGCGGCCGGCCGGGGCGGGGGCGGUGCUGCGCGCGGGGUGAUGACGCCACACGCCCC